UGAUGAUAGAAAUAGAACUUUGAACUGUGUUAUCUAGUUGGGUAUUGUAGGAUGUGAAAAUUCGAGAAGUGGGUUAUAUUAAACAUCAAACCCAUAAUCAAGUUCUUGCAUUUAUCUUUUCUGUAAGCAUAACACAAACAACUCAUCAAAUAUAAGAAAAAAAAAGAGACAAUUUUGACAAUGUCAAACAAAAUACAUUCCAAAUUUAAAGGGAAACAAGCCCCCAGCCUGGCAAACACAAUUUCUUUCCGAUUUAACCCCAUAGAAGAAAACCUAGAGGAAGUUUCAGAAGAAAAAGAAACAUUUAUAGGUAAAUCUAAUAAAAAAGUUGCCACUAAAGAAUGUCUCAAAGACACAAGAGCACGUCUUUUUCAUAAAACUGUUUCUGUAAAGGAUACUAAAAAAGGCUUUAUGCAAUUUAAUUUGAUAUCAACUUGUGAAAAAGAUGGAAAAGGAAAAAUGGUAGUAGAAACAAAAAAUGAAGAAGUGAAAGGCAACCAAAGAUUAUCAGUGGAAGAAGUAGUUAGAAGUGAAGCAGACUCAAAAUGUAUGGAAAAAAACAAAGUGGAUAGUACAAUGUCCACUCCAUUUUGUAAUAUAGAUGCAAGAGAUUCAUCACCAAAAAAAGAAACUAUGAGGGAAUACUUUGCCAAACUUGGGAAACGCACAUCUAGUCUUGAUACAUCUAAAGCUGCAGAUUGCGAGUCACGUUCAUUUCUUAGUGGGAUAACUGAACGCUUAACUAAAACUGCUCAUGAAAAGAUAAAUAAAGAUUCAGUUCCUGGUGCUCAUCCUGGUACACAAUAUGAAGAAAGGAAACACCCAUUUACUGGCUCCCAAAAGGAAGAUUAUUUGUCAGAACAAAUAGCACAAGUUGAAGAUCCAGUGGGAGAGCAACUACAAGAUUCCACGAAUGAAAGCAGGCUGAAAGAGAGUACAGAUAUAAUAGAAAAGGCCAAGGAGUGUUUGCAGGAAGAAUUUAUUUCUGAUAGUUAUUCAUGCAUGAAUAUGGAAAGUAAAAUUUCAUCUGACAGUUCUAAUUAUACGUCACACUCUAAAAUGUUGGACACCAGUAUUACUUCCUUUAUAUCUGACUCAUCCAGUCAGCAGGUCCAUACUAAGGUCAGUGUUCCAUCAUUGGUAACAUUUUCCUCUUUAUUGGCAUCAUAUACUUCAAGGCCUUGUUCCAAAGAAGAUAAUGAUUUAGACACUUGGGAGUUUGUAGUACAAGAAGAGAAAGUAGAGGCUCCACAUGUAAUGCCUGUUAUGGUUGAGAAACGUGAAAAACCUGAGUCUGUGAAACACACAAACUCAUUGUUGAAAGUUUACUUUGAUAUAUUGAAAAAAAGAUGGAACAAAUCUUCCAAGGUAUUCAGCAGAAUUUAUAACUUGUCUUAUACGUGGUUGUUUGUAAUGCUCACCUCCUUGAUUUUUGCAGCUAGUUUUUUGCCAUCAUAUUUUUCUGGUUUCAUUAUGGGAGCAUGCCUCUCAGGACUCAUAGUAUAUGGAUCUUGGUGGUUGGUUAGACCUCCAAGUAUGAAACAACCUUUGGAAAUUCCUGACUAUAAUACAUUACCUCCUUUGAAGGUACCAGUAGGAGUACCAGUGGAAGAUCAUAAUAUUUACAAGGGAUGGAUGAAUGAGCUACCCUUUGACUAUGAUCCUGACACAUACCAUGUGAACAAAACACAGUCAGUGUAUGUUCGUCUAGAUGAUUCUUCACUUGUUUUUGUCCCGUCCAAAAUAUAAUGUAUCAAAACGAGCCACGUGGAAUGAACAUUGUGAUGAGCCAUUGUUUAUUCAUCAAAGACACUAUGACUUGAAAGGAGCCACUAUAUCUUUACAACCAGUGGGUUUAACCAGAAAGAGGUUGUGGAAUAAGGAGUAUCCUAUAUCUAUUGUCAUCAUUAAUUCUAAAAUAUUCCAUAAUGAACCAAGUGAAGAUAAUACUCAUAUGUCGGAGCUUUCCUCAAGAUUUAAGUCUCCACAGAUGGAUUCUUCUAAAA
rnacentral:misc_RNA from 1 species